rnacentral:rRNA from 1 species
UUCAGAGGUCCCGAGCGUUGUUCGGAUUUACUGGGCGUAAAGGGAGCGUAGGCGGUUCGGUAUGACGAAUGUGAAAGCCCACAACUCAACUGUGGAAAUGCAUUCGAAACUGCCGGGCUAGAGUACUGGAGAGGAGAGCGGAAUCCUUGGUGUAGCGGUGAAAUGCGUAGAUAUCAAGAGGAACACCGGUGGCGAAGGCGGCUCUCUGGACAGAUACUGACGCUGAGGCUCUAAAGUUAGGGGAGCAAACAGGAUUAGAUACCCU